AGACGGAGGGCGCGAGCGUUGUUCGGAAUCACUGGGCGUAAAGCGCGCGCAGGCGGGUGCGGAAGUCGGGGGUGAAAGGCCGGGGCUCAACCCCGGAGGGUUCUCUCGAUACUCCGUGCCUAGGGACCGGUAGAGGCCAGUGGAAUUCCCGGAGUAGCGGUGGAAUGCGUAGAGAUCGGGAAGAACACCGGAGGCGAAGGCGACUGGCUGGGCCGGCUCCGACGCUCAGGCGCGAAAGCGUGGGGAGCAAACAGGAUUAGAUACCCUGGUAGUCCACGCCGUAAACGAUGGGUGCUAGAUGCUGGGGGGAGCGACCCCGUCAGUGUCGGAGCUAACGCGUUAAGCACCCCGCCUGGGGAGUACGGCCGCAAGGCUGAA
rnacentral:rRNA from 1 species